CAGUCGCCACGGGAAUACGAAGGGUGCAAGCGUUAAUCGGAAUUACUGGGCGUAAAGCGUGCGUAGGCGGUUUGUUAAGUCUGCUGUGAAAUCCCCGGGCUCAACCUGGGAAUGGCAGUGGAUACUGGCAAGCUAGAGUGUGUCAGAGGAUGGUGGAAUUCCCGGUGUAGCGGUGAAAUGCGUAGAGAUCGGGAGGAACAUCAGUGGCGAAGGCGGCCAUCUGGGACAACACUGACGCUGGGGCACGAAAGCGUGGGGAGCAAACAGGAUUAGAUACCCCGGUAGUCCCUGUCUCUUAUAC
rnacentral:rRNA from 1 species